GAUGAACGCUGGCGGCGUGCCUAAUACAUGCAAGUCGAGCGAACAGACGAGGAGCUUGCUCCUCUGACGUUAGCGGGGGACGGGUGAGUAACACGUGGAUAACCUACCUAUAAGACUGGGAUAACUUCGGGAAACCGGAGCUAAUACCGGAUAAUAUAUUGAACCGCAUGGUUCAAUAGUGAAAGACGGUUUUGCUGUCACUUAUAGAUGGAUCCGCGCCGCAUUAGCUAGUUGGUAAGGUAACGGCUUACCAAGGCAACGAUGCGUAGCCGACCUGAGAGGGUGAUCGGCCACACUGGAACUGAGACACGGUCCAGACUCCUACGGGAGGCAGCAGUAGGGAAUCUUCCGCAAUGGGCGAAAGCCUGACGGAGCAACGCCGCGUGAGUGAUGAAGGUCUUCGGAUCGUAAAACUCUGUUAUUAGGGAAGAACAAAUGUGUAAGUAACUAUGCACGUCUUGACGGUACCUAAUCAGAAAGCCACGGCUAACUACGUGC
rnacentral:rRNA from 1 species